GUCUUCACGAUGGACCGGAGAUAGAUCCCGAUGACAGGGACGCAGUGAAUACAGAUGACGUCACUGAGACAGUCCGGAAGUACGUGUCUGAACACCUUCCGGGACUGGAAACGGCUCCCUCGGUGACCGAAACAUGCAUAUAUACGAUGACUCCAGACAGGCAGUUUAUAUUAGACAACCAUCCCAAGUGGAAAAACAUAAUCAUAGGAGCUGGAUUUUCUGGUCAUGGAUUUAAGCUGGCCCCCGUUAUUGGUAAAGUACUGACGGAACUUGUCCUCAACAAGAAACCCUCCUACGAUUUGUCACGAUGUCGGAUCCAAAGAUUUCUUCCUCCCAAACACCAGUUAUAGGACGAGAGCUAAAAAUCUACCUGCUGCCCAAUAUUAUUAACUUUAAUGAAUAAAAUUAUGCAUAUCAAAAAUCAACAUGUAUACGCACAGGUCACAUGCUAUCCACAGUUAUUGUGUUGAUUUGAUGACGCGAUCGUUAGUAUAGAAUUUUACAUUAAUAAAAAACAUAAAUUUAUCGGAUUGAAUGAAGAUGCCAAGUUUUUGAUUACUACAUGUAGCUCUUAAUCUUCUUUGAAAUUCAAUUACAUAUAUGUAAUUAACACCCCCCCCCCCCAUAAUUUUGCCGAUAUAUAAUAAUCUUUAUUGCAUAAUACACCCAUAUGGGUCAAGCAAUAUAUCAUAAAAAAAACAAAACAAAAGAGAACAAUGAAUUAUAUAUACAAUAUCCAUAUAGAAAUUCAUUCCCUAAAUGUUACAUCGAUGUGGACCUUUUCUUUCUCAAUUCUAAUGAUUGUUUAUGUAGUAUACUGUAGAAAACAUAGCUACUACAUGCUAGAGCCCCUUCAAUAAAAACGUCUGAUGGCCUUUGUUUCUUUUUUGCUUGUAGAGGAAUAUUUGGUAGAUGAUAGUGCCUCCAACUGAAAAUAUAUGGCUGUGCCCCCCCCCCCCCAAAAAAAAAAUUGCUUCCCACGGACCUGUAUGGGGAGUCAUAAGUGCGAUUAAUAAUUGAGUGUAAAUAUGAGCUCUAAGACUACAUGUAACAGAUAAAGCUAGAAAAAAACGAGGGGGGGGGGGCUUUGAGAGUUAGAACUGUUGUCAUUUAA